rnacentral:sRNA from 1 species
UGGCAGUCCCUCGGCGACCAGCGCGCCCGCCGCCCGUUAAUCGCGCCGACCCGCGCCCCUAUCGCGCCCGUAUCGCGCCCCGGCAAGCGCGGCUCUCGCAGGCCCGAUGGACUACGAUCGACCAAACGAACUCACAAUACCUAUAACACUACUUUUCAAUCACCCCUUGGCACUCUCCAAAAACCUCGAUAAAAUUAGCGACCGAAUUGCGCGAGCUUAAGAUGACACUCAAACUCUGUUGCGGAAACUUUUGUCGACUUUCGAAGACAUUUAGUGAUUGACAUAUCCAUUUUAGUGGAAUCCUCUAUAGAAGUUUCGUUUUAAUUUUAAAUAUGCAUCUAAAAGGCAAAAUAUAUAGAAGCUUAUUUAUACACAAAAAGCGACUGAAAUUUUCUGAUUGCGACCUUUAAAAAUUUACACGCAAUUUGUGAACUGUUUACACGAUUUAUAGACGGUUUUGAAAUUUAUUUCCUACUUAAAAAGCAACCCUUAGAUAAAUAGAGUGAUUUUGACCAAAGACAUUGAAAUAUAAAUAGUUUUAAGUGUGUAAAACUGUAUAGUUACGGCAAUAGAAGUGUUUGAAAGACAUUAAUCGUGCUUAGUAUAUGUAGUUUAGGUGUUAAUAACUCUAUAGUGAAUGUUUUAGUGCAAUUUUGUUCAUCAGUUAAUCAACGGCUGUCAAAAAAUUACUUGGAUGAAGACUUGUUCGGGGCUGACAUUACGUGAAGAAUCUUUCUCCUUACUGCUAGUCAUGGCUCAAUACCUUUCCUGUAAAACAUUCCUUAGUCGUUCUUCCACGUGUGUAGUCUGCGGAAAAUAACAUCUAUAUUAAAAACAUUCCACUACCUUGAUUGUCUUAAUUGUCCGAGUAGUGUAAUUUAUUUUGUUUUUGGGAGUUACAAAGCUGAUAGUGUCCGCCAGUCGAGGGUAGAGGAAGUGAGCUCGAGUAACGCGCGGUAACCUCUUCGGAGGGCGCGAGACGCCUGCGCGAUGCGGUCUCGCCAGGGAUGUACGUAAUAUAUCCUGCGGAUGAAGUAGUUUCCCUGACAUACAGCUCGCACUCGCUGCCCCGGCCACGGCAGCGGCCUACGCUCGACGUGCUCUUCGGGCCGCUGCCGCCCGCGCCGACCAGCGCACAUUCCCCGCCCUUAGCCCCCACCCUCGUUUGCGGCAACUCUCUCAAAACGGCGCCCCCGGAGCCUGCGGAGCGCGCGCCGGCAUCGCCGACGCCGUCGCUCGAGCGCUCGGCCAAGCUGCGCGAGCGCACCAAGAACAAAUUGUUUAAAAAAUUAGGCCGCCACGAGAAUAAUGAAUUCGGCAAAAUUGUUAGAACUCCCGCCCCCGACGAAUUUGAGCUACCCGCCCCUUUACCCACCCCCGGCGUUUUCAAGGAAGAAUAUAUUUGAUCGCGACUUCGAUGCACUUUUCGAAGUGGCCAGCACACCCCAGUUCGGAGCGAACAUACGCGUCACCACUCCAGAACCAGAUCGUCGCUCCGACGUUUCAGCAAUACAUUUCCCUUCUCCCGCGGAGUCAGCACACAGCCUUCCUCCGCGGCCCAACUCUGAACCCACACCCUCGCCUGCGACCUCUGCCCGUACCUCCACGCCAUCGACGCCCACGCCUCAACGAUCGUCCUUUGAAGGAUCAAAUUCAAAACCGAAGAAAGUUAGUUUCUUCCGCAAGCUCAGUCGAUCGAAAGAAGCAACGACUUCGCGUCCACCUGCGCCCACCAUGCAGCAGCCGUCGGUCGAAAUGGCGCUGCGAGAACUAACACACCCUGCGCAUAAUGAUCAACUCAAAAACCAACAACAAGUCACUUUCAAGUUAGUUAAAACAGUGUCUGACUUCACAAGUCAAUUAUCACAACUGUAUGAACGACACUCGUCAGAGCUCCAGGUCCUCAUAGCUAACUUCAGAAAACGCAACAGUGAACUCAGGAAAGAAAGAGCAAGCUGUCCCUCCUCCCUUUUCCACACAUGGGAAACUUUACUACAAGAAUUGGAGGCAGAUAUCGUGGGUUUCAACAACGCAUCAUCUUCUCUUGAACGACUGGUGGCGACUCCUCUUAUAGACCGCACGUUCCAUAUGAAGGUGCAGGCGAGGAAGCUGUUUGCUCAUCGAGAAGGGUGCGAAGUGAUACUUGGCAAGGCAGAUGAUCAACUUACGAAGAGCCGUCAAGACUACAGAGCGGCAUUUUUGAACUACUGCAACAACCCCAACCCAGCUGCCUUGGCUACCUACUACGAUUCCCACAAUACCUACGUCCAACAAUUAACGGCCACCAAUGCGAUGCUCGACCAAUACCAUAAGCAUACUCUGCCCACGUUGUUGCAGGAGUUGGAAGAGAUAUUGACUGAUGUCACUUCGGCUGUUAGCGACGCCAUUUGUCAAGAAGGCGAAAUAAUCUCGGAAAUGAGUAACUCCCGGCUCCGUCGAUACGAAUCGCUGUGUGCCCAAGCCCGUGCCGUCUCCAGUACAGCAGACCUAGCGCACCUGGCCCGCGCGUUGCUGACUGCCCAACCUCCUAUGAAACCGCCGAAGAGACCCUUCCUACCACCCUACCCGCCGGAGCCAGAUGACUUACCACUUGAUGUUCCAGCGGAAAGUAUGCCGCCUGUGCUUCGUGGAGAAAUGCUCUUGGACCGCAUGGGAGGCGCACAAGCUCGUCUCAAUUAUGAACAACUGAGGAAGGACUCUCAAGAUCUAGAAAUACAAAUAAAGCAGCUGCAGGACAGUCUCGAUUCGUUAGCUCGUCAUCAAAAUCGAAGCCUGGAAAGUAAUCUUUACAACAAAGUAAACGAAAUACAGGAGGAAAUUUCUAUGAAAAAUACGACUACAGGGCUUCGCAACUACAUCUAGCAGCGAUAAGAGCUCAGCGGGAGUUAUUUGCGGCGAAAGCAGACAGUGGUGCGACAGCUGUAGAUCGUAAGCUCUCGUCCUCAUCAGCAGGCAGCAUGAAGAAUAAAUGGUUAAAGGCCUUCCGCAGUCUGAAGCCGCCCAGCGCGCCUCCACCUCACGCCGCACCACCAGACAAAAAAAAUCAAAUGUACCACGCGGUGUCGACGGUAAUGGCGAUGAGGAGGAAUGGAGCGGCUCGUGAAGCGAUGCGAUCGGGAGACUCGGAGGCUCACAACUUCCAAGAAUACACCUAUAAGAAAAUAACGCCGUGCGACGUUUGCUCACAAGUCCUUAGAGGGCACACUAGGCAAGGACUCCGUUGUCGCCUAUGCAAGAUGAACGUGCACACAGACUGCAUGCCUCAAGUCGGCAAGUGCCAGACCAAGUCGCGACUCCUGCGCCGCCAGAAGAGCACCUCGGAAAUAGAGUCGCAUCGGGUGCAAGAAACCGCCUUCGAUGAUGAAACGCCGCAUUCACCGAGACGUCAAAAGUUGAACCUUAGAAUGAAGAGCUUAUCGCUGGACUCGCCGGAAUGUGGAGAGCUGAGGCGCCGGCCGCCGCGCGACCACCCGCCCGCGCAGGGCAGCCGCGUCCUGUGUAAAUGCAGAGCAAAUUGCAUGAGACAUGGCUUUAAUAGCGUAAAUAUCUACACCAUUUAUAGUCACACACGCUCAUCGCCUUCGUCGCCAGUUCAUAGUAGGCGAUUAUUGAGUGCCCGUGGAGGUCGAAUGAGUAGCGUGGAACUCCCUGACGAGCCUGACAAGAGCCUGUCUUCAAAUAGUGCCAGCCCUUGCCCCUCACCUGUCAAGCAACCCAGCAAACACCAACGGCUUCUGCCGACAAAUCUCUAUGUGAUUCUUUACAACUUCAAAUCACGCCAUGCUGAUGAGCUGGACCUCAAGGCUGGGUACAAAGUAACCGUCAUCGACACCUCUGAUCCUGAUUGGUGGAAGGGAAAAUGUUUAGGCAAGAUCGGAUACUUCCCUUCCAAAUACUGCACUAAGCUACAGGCAGGCGAGAGACCGCUUCAAGUCACGCAUAAUCUCCAAGUAUCUGACGGUGACAAUGGACUGAUGCUUCUCCGCGAUCAGAUCGUGAUCCAAGUAGGCGAUGAAGUUGACGGCAUGGUGAUGAUUCGCUCCGGAGACAACCGGCAGGGAGUGUGUCCUGUGAAGUUCCUACAGGAAGUGUGACGCUUCAAGCUACCUCACUUCGAUAUCAUGAAAAAACGCGGCUCUCUAACGGACGACAAGAUCAGACACUACGAACCCAAAACAAUACGCAGCGCGCCGGUCACUCCUUGCGACAGUGACAACUCCACCUGGUCGGACAGAUGGAUACGAAAGAACCACGACCACUACAGCGGAUACGACAAACCGUACGACAGCUAUAUUGGCAAUGAAGGUACUUCGGCAUAUGACAAGGCUAGUUACGAGGAGUCUGUUGAGGGUGUGUGGUGGUGGCGAAGACCUCUCGGCGUCAGGAGAACGCAUUGCCGAAGAUGCGGCGCUUCGUCUUCUUCGAGACCCCUCCGCAUGUCCCCGUGUGCAGGCAUGAGCCAGGACGAAGAUGGCGCCGAACGCAGACCGAUCAUGUCACGUGACCGACCCUUGAAUUUCGUCAGGCAAUUGUUUUUAUAGAUUUAAUUUUCUGACAUCUGAAAUUCUGAUUAAACUAUGAUGAUUAAAUUAUGACGUGCUAAAAACUUGCAAUAGAACGCGUGAUACUUACAUAGUUAUUAGUAUAAUGUAUCACGUGUAGUUUGAAUGAAGCCCAACGGCCUAGAUUCUAGCUGAUGGGCAUUAGCGAUUACCGAGCCUAAGCAUGACAUGCAAGAGGAGCUUCACUAAUAUAAACACCCUUCAAAGCAAAAAAAAAAUGUAUCCUAUGUAUUAUAUAGUAGAAGAGUGGGCAAAAGAAAUAUUUUUACCAAUAUAUAGUUAAAUUAUGGUACAUUUUCAAACUCAAAUCAUAUAAGUGUGAAGCUUUUUUUUUACAAAAUAUGGGUAAGACUAAAGAAUCUUAUGAUUUUAAUAAUGAUUCUUCUCGUUUGAAUUUCAAAGGGUGUUAUAAAUACCAAAGAUAUGGCCUACCGUAGAAUUAUUUCGAUAAUUUGUGUUCCUUCCAUAUUUUACAAAAGUUUCGUAAUAAAUAUUUGUAUAUUAUUGAAUAAUAUGUGAAUUAUUGCGAAAAAUAUAUACUUGGUUACCAACAUAUCAUUUUGAAAUAUUGUGUAAUAUAAUUAAUUUUAUUGUGAUAUUUACAUAUUUAGAUGUUAAUUACCAUGCAUCACAUAUUUCUUUAGCAUCACUGAAUAUGUCAGCUUUCAAAUAUUUAGGGCGAGAAUAACGUUCUGUAAUCUGACGCAUUUAGGACAGUCAACAGAUAGUGUUGAAUCCAGUCAUUGAGAUAUAAACGUAUUAGUUAAAAGGUCAGUUAACUGUUAUCGACACUUAUACUAUCAAUAUUUCAACACACCAUAGGACAAAGUCGUAUAAAUAACUCUACCUUUCGGAAGAAUUAUCUAUAAUGAUUUUUAUAACAUUUUUUGUCAGUUAUUUAGAACAUAUUAUAUUUGUUUGUUUUGAAUGUAUAGAACGAGAACUAUUAAACAUUUAAUUUAAAAAAUAUCUUCUGAAAAAGCGAGCUUUCAAUCGACUUUUUCUAUGUCGAUUUCAGUAUAAAUUUACGUUGACAGUUACUGCCAAUAUAUAUGUAGUAAAAAAUACUUAUAAUUUGACAAUCAUUAAUUCUAGUCGAGUAUCUGUGUUGUAAGACGUAGUGUUUAAUAGUAGAUACAGUUUGAGUGCUUAGCAAUAGGAUAAAACAUUCCAAUAUUUUUAUUGGCAUACUGGCGUCAGCUUUUAAAUCUUUAGAAAUCUAGAUAUUAUCUAGAGGACAUUUCCAAAAUGUCUUUCCUAUUGCAAUUAAUCCAUCCAUUUCCUUUGCGAAUUAAUGCUGUUCUAUUAUAGGCUUUUACCCUUCAUAGUCCAAUUCGUUGAAUUUAACAAUUGUAUUUAUCAAAAAUGCUAUUAAUUUUUAAUAUAAAUUAUAUUUUAGUUGACAUGCUAAGCCGUCCCCUGAAGUUUUAAGAAUAUAAAUUAUGAAUGUAAUAUUGAAAACCUAGCAUAAGUACCUCAUAUUAUUCGUAUUUAGCAUGCAGAGAUAAUUAUAGAUAAUGUUGACACUAAUUAUGUCCCCCUAAAAUAUAUCUUAAAAUAUUUUAAUCUGAGCAUCCUCUAAUAGGUUAACUAUCGACCAGUACAGCAAAAUAUUUGCAAUAGAAGCCUAGUUACAAAGACGUCUACUUGAUAAGAUAUUAUUAUUGGCUGAUGCCAUAGAUUGAUAUGAAACAGAUGGUAAAUUAUUACUGCUUUUAAUAAAGUAAAAGUCGAUAUGGACGUCUUCCCCAGGAAAAAGAAGAGUUUAAAAGGAUAUUUAUAAAAUGUGUUAGGGCUCGGCAACCUUCUGAGGGUAUGAAAGGCAAAGCUGCUUCUUCUCGACGGUUUUCCAAACAAUUGUAUCCACUAGUCACAUCUCUAAACAAAACUGCUCACACCCCGCUGUACUAGUUUUAUUUCGUAUCAAAUUAAAUAAUUAAUUAUCAUUUCAUAACAAUGUUAUUUACUCUUGCUUUAAUUUAGAAGUAUGCUAAGGUUAAAAUAUUUUAAAUGUUAUAGUCAAAGUAUACUUAGACGUAACUAAGGUAUUUAUAGGUGGCAUGUUUUUACCGUAUGAAUAUAAUAUUUUUAUUUGCUUUUUGAUUAGGACGAGUAAAUUACUAUGUAGAGUCGUGUAUACGUGAUAAACGUUUUAGGAUCAGCAAGGAAUAUAGCAGCACUUCAACACUAUUUAUCACCUACUUAUUUCAUUUUGUUUGUGCUUUGUUUUAUAUCCUAAUGUACUAUGUCAAGACUUCGGUGCGUAACAUAUUUUUAGAACAUGAAGAAAUGUUUUAUUUUGUUACUAUUUCUGUUUUUACAAAAUAUGCAGAAGAGGACAGUAAAGAAUUAUAAUAAAAAUGUCGUACACAAAAUUAGUUUAUUAUAAUAUCAAUAGUCUACGAUGGUGAUAAAUGGUGUACUAUUUACAAAUAAAUAAUGGUUUAAGAAAACACUCACACUUAUAAACAAAAAUAAUAACAAGAAGCUUAAUAGACUAUCUUUCGCUAAAAUCCUUAUAAAUCCUAUAUAUAUUUUAGUGUUUAUUUUUCUAAUUAAAAUAAAAACUUAAAUCUCCCUACUUUUCAUAAAAAAAUGCCUGAAAUUGAAUAUUACUAAAACGAAUGUGAUGUAUGUAUUUAUAUAUAUGGAAUAAUAUAUUGAGAAAUUGAGAUCAGUUCGUACAGGAGUUUUGAAAGGGCGUCAUAAGUCAAUAUUGUUCUUCCGACACACUGAAUGCAUACAAACUUUUUUUUAUAUUCUAAAUGAGCGGUAUUUGUUUUGAUAAAAAUAAUAAUAACGCCAAAAACAGCUUCCACUACAGUAUUAUUAUUACUAUUAUUUUGUUUUUAGAGUUAUUAAUUGCCAUUUUUAUUGUAUUUCACAUUCUCUGAAUCAUUGCUAAUAUUUAAAUGCAUACUAUGGCUAUUUAAUGGUCGUAAUCAUCUGCAAAGGCAGAUAUUUUUUGGGUAUAUUUUGUUGUCCCCAUAUAACAUUUAAUAUUAUAUAUUAUAUAAUGACUUGUAAACAAGAAAAAAACGUCUUCCCUUGCACAAACUUGAAGAUGUUCAAUCCUCCUGUACGAACUUGUAAUGUGUCAUAAAUCAUACGAGUAAGGGUAUAAUAAAUAUCAGGUACAGAAAACGGAACCAAAUUAUUAUAAUAUAUAAGUAAAAUAAUCCCUAGGAAUAUUUGCAAAACUAUUCCCAAGUGAGAUGUUUUAUUAUAACAAGUAUAUAUAAAUAUUUAGAAAUAUAUAACAUAAAGAUUAUAAUGUUAAGGCCUUCUCGUAAAUAUUAUACGAUUUUUGUUUUGUUUCGUUAUGUAUUUGUAGUCAUAUCAAAAUUAUUAAGUAACUAUUUUAUUUAAAAAAUUAUGCAUUUAUAAUUUUAAAUGGAAAAUUAUAAACCACAAAUAACUAUCGACACUACAGUGGAUAGUUAUUCGAUACCUAUUGUUAUAAAUCAUAAAAAAGAUAUGGAUCUAUGUUACUCGAGCUGAUAUUGUUGCGUAGGUAGACGAAGGCCUCCCCUUAAUGUUAAUCGUGAUCACGAAUUAUCCAAUGAGCUAUUAUUGUAAGUUACACCGACUUUAGGUUUAACAAAAAAUCAGUUGUAUUACUUUGCUGUUUAGGCAUUCGUAAAAGAAAAAAUGUUUAGAAACAUUAUGCUUAAUUUACGUUUAAAAUGCGUUGAUUUAUUCAGGAUAUUUAUUAACAAUGUUGUGUUUAGAAUAAAGAUUGUGUCAUGAA